AUGAACGCUGGCGGCGUGCCUAAUACAUGCAAGUCGAGCGAACGGACGAGAAGCUUGCUUCUCUGAUGUUAGCGGCGGACGGGUGAGUAACACGUGGAUAACCUACCUAUAAGACUGGGAUAACUUCGGGAAACCGGAGCUAAUACCGGAUGAUAUUUUGAACCGCAUGGUUCAAAAGUGAAAGACGGUCUUGCUGUCACUUAUAGAUGGAUCCGCGCUGCAUUAGCUAGUUGGUAAGGUAACGGCUUACCAAGGCAACGAUGCAUAGCCGACCUGAGAGGGUGAUCGGCCACACUGGAACUGAGACACGGUCCAGACUCCUACGGGAGGCAGCAGUAGGGAAUCUUGCGCAAUGGGCGAAAGCCUGACGGAGCAACGCCGCGUGAGUGAUGAAGGUCUUCGGAUCGUAAAACUCUGUUAUUAGGGAAGAACAUAUGUGUAAGUAACUGUGCACAUCUUGACGGUACCUAAUCAGAAAGCCACGGCUAACUACGUG
rnacentral:rRNA from 1 species